UACGUAGGGUGCAAACGUUGUUCGGAAUCACUGGGCAUAAAGAGCGCGUAGGCGGUCUGACAAGUCCCCUGUGAAAGCCCCCGGCUUAACCGGGGAACUGCAUGGGAUACUGUUGGGCUAGAGUGCAGGAGGGGAGAGCGGAAUUCCUGGUGGAGCGGUGAAAUGCGCAGAUAUCAGGAAGAACACCAAUGGCGAAGGCAGCUCUCUGGGACGGUACUGACGCUGAGACGCGAAAGCGUGGGGAGCGAACAGG
rnacentral:rRNA from 1 species